UGGGGAAUUUUGGACAAUGGGGGCAACCCUGAUCCAGCCAUCCCGCGUGUGCGAUGAAGGCCUUCGGGUUGUAAAGCACUUUUGGCAGGGAAGAAACAGCCUGGGAUAAUACCCCGGGCGACUGACGGUACCUGCAGAAUAAGCACCGGCUAACUACGUGCCAGCAGCCGCGGUAAUACGUAGGGUGCAAGCGUUAAUCGGAAUUACUGGGCGUAAAGCGUGCGCAGGCGGUUCGGAAAGAAAGGUGUGAAAUCCCAGGGCUUAACCUUGGAACUGCACUUUUAACUACCGAGCUAGAGUACGUCAGAGGGGGGUAGAAUUCCACGUGUAGCAGUGAAAUGCGUAGAGAUGUGGAGGAAUACCGAUGGCGAAGGCAGCCCCCUGGGAUGAUACUGACGCUCAUGCACGAAAGCGUGGGGAGCAAACAGGAUUAGAUACCCUGGUAGUCCACGCCCUAAACGAUGUCAACUAGCUGUUGGGGUUUAUUAACCUUAGUAGCGCAGCUAACGCGUGAAGUUGACCGCCUGGGGAGUACGGUCGCAAGAUUAAAACUCAAAGUGAAUUGACGGGGGUCAUAGCUGUUUUCCUG
rnacentral:rRNA from 1 species